GAUGAAGAACGUAGCGAAAUGCGAUAAGUAAUGUGAAUUGCAGAAUUCAGUGAAUCAUCGAAUCUUUGAACGCACAUUGCGCCCCCUGGUAUUCCGGGGGGCAUGCCUGUCCGAGCGUCAUUACAACCCUCAAGCUCAGCUUGGUGUUGGGCCCCGCCGCCCCGGCGGGCCCUAAAGUCAGUGGCGGUGCCGUCCGGCUCCGAGCGUAGUAAUUCUUCUCGCUCUGGAGGUCCGGUCGUGUGCUCGCCAGCAACCCCCAAUUUUUUUCAGGUUGACCUCGGAUCAGGUAGGGAUACCCGCUGAACUAAAGCAUAUCAAUAAGCGGAGGA
rnacentral:misc_RNA from 1 species